rnacentral:rRNA from 1 species
UGUGCCAGCAGCCGCGGUAAUACGUAGGGGGCAAGCGUUGUCCGGAUUUAUUGGGCGUAAAGCGCGUGUAGGCGGCCAUGCAGGUCCGCUGUGAAAACUAGAGGCUCAACCUCUAGAGGUCGGUGGAAACCGUAUGGCUAGAGUCCGGAAGAGGAGAGUGGAAUUCCCGGUGUAGCGGUGAAAUGCGCAGAUAUCGGGAAGAACACCUAUGGCGAAGGCAGCUCUCUGGGACGGUACUGACGCUGAGACGCGAAAGCGUGGGGAGCGAACAGGAUUAGAUACCCUGGUAGUCCACGCCGUAAACGAUGGGUGCUAGGUGUAGGGGGUGUCGACUCCCUCUGUGCCGAAGCUAACGCAUUAAGCACCCCGCCUGGGGAGUACGGCCGCAAGGCUAAAACUCAAAGAAAUUGACGGG